rnacentral:lncRNA from 1 species
GGGGACCAGCCUGGGUGGAAACCUGCUACUGCUGCUGCUUCUGCCGCCCCAGCCUGGGUUGUGGAGAAACAAAUAAGGCCGAUAAACAGGCAAACAUCCAAGAAGAGGGACUGUGGGGCGAGGAGGAAAACAAGAGUUGUCAAACGAGCUUGUUCAUAACCAGAGACCAGCCUCUCUGGAGCAGAGACUAAGAUGGUGAAGGUCUAUGGCUCCAAGACCCAUGGGAUUUGGAAGAAAGACCCACGCUCCCAGAAAGUGAAAUUGUCCCUCUCAGAGGAAACAGGAGGAUGGCCACCUGCUUCCCACGGAAACAGACCCCCCUCCAAAGGCUGACGGGAGGUGAAUGAGUCAAGUACCCUAACAGACUCUCUGAUCUCCAAGCUGAGGGGCCUUUCACAGUUUGAUCGCUGCCACCCACCCGCCAGAAUUCUACAGGACAAGGAAACUAUCCAUCAGGGUCUGACUCAGGUUCCCUGACAGGACUCCUAGAAACCCCAGGAGCUUCUCAGGAUCACAAAGUCUUAGAGGUUUGGGGAACCUCCUACGUUUAAUUUUGCGGACUCUGCUGAAUCUUGAGCAUGGGAUAGCCCCCCCCCCAAAAAAAAAAAAAACCCACUUGGGUUCAUUUCCUUCUUUCCCUAAAUCUUGGGGAAUGCCUCAGGCAGCAGGGUAAGACAUUCCACUAGACCUGCCUGUCAUUUCAAAUUUAAACCAAAUUGUUUAAACGGGCUCUGUCUUAGCAAUUAUCUACUCGAAUCUGUCCACAUUACUCCCUCGAUGUUGGCCACUGCUGGCCCAAAUUGGGAAUGUUUGACUUUCUCGAAGACCUAGACAACUUUCAUAAAUGAACCGGCAAAUGGUUGGAGGCCCCGCCCACACAUAAACCUUGCCCCGCCCAACCUCAUUUUAACUCUUCUCCUUCCAUUUACAACCGGGUCCUAAUGCCCCGCCGUUUCUCCUGGGGAGAUUUUUGCCUUAAGCCUUUUUAGUCUGGCUUUUGUUUCGGCCCCACCAAGCCUGCAUUCUCUUGAUUUUAUGUCUAUUCAUCAGCUACUCAUUAGGCUUCCCAGAUUGUCUUCCUCCAUCUACAGAAUACACAAACUGUUCACUGAGUUCAGUGUGUGUCUUUUGGGUGUGGAAAAUACUGAAAAGUUGUCACAAGCUAUUUAACUUGGCUGCAAAGCAUGCUCUGGAAAUGGGGUCUGGCCUGCCUACUUGAGACCCAAGCACUUUAUUUCAAAGUUUCCCCAAGGCCACCUUCCUAGAUUAAGGUGGCUCCCUGACUCUGUGACAGAGAAGGAAAACAACAAAGCACCCCAUGGAAAAAGACGUUACGGCCUCUUGAGGACCCGGUAAGAGGUUAGCUAUUCCCAAUAGAGGCUUUUCUUGUUUACCUCAUAAGGUGUACGUAUUAAAACCAGCUAAUGACGCUCAGAUAGGCAAAGGAUAAAAGAGACCCUUUGUAUAAAAUCUCUUAAUGCACAACAAACAACACAGUUUCAACGGAUCCCUCAGCUAAGUUGUUAGAUGAUCAUAUAAAUUCAGUAAUGAUUAUGGAAAAAAAAAACCCCUCUACGUGCUAUAUAACUUAUAAAGGCUGUUUUAUGUUUUGUGUAAGGUCUGCCUGGAAACUUACAAGGCCUGGUGGUUUUACAGUAUGUACAGAGGUAAUUAUUAA